rnacentral:rRNA from 1 species
AUAGCGUAUAUUAAAGUUGUUGCAGUUAAAAAGCUCGUAGUUGAACUUUGGGUUUGGUUGGAUGGUCUCCCAAUGGGUUGCACUAUUCGACUGAAUCUUUCCUUCUGGCAAACUAUUGUGCUUUUUAUUAAGUGCGAUAGGGAACCAGGACUUUUACUUUGAAAAAAUUAGAGUGUUUAAAGCAGGCUUACGCUUGAAUACAUUAGCAUGGAAUAAUAAAAUAGGACUUUGGUUUUAUUUUGUUGGUUUCUAAGACCGAAGUAAUGAUUAAUAGGGAUAGUUGGGGGCAUUAGUAUUUAGCCGUCAGAGGUGAAAUUCUUGGAUUGGCUAAAGACUAACUUCUGCGAAAGCAUUUGCCAAGGAUGUUUUCAUUAAUCAAGAACGAAAGUUAGGGGAUCGAAGACGAUCAGAUACCGUCGUAGUCUUAACCAUAAACUAUGCCGACUAGGGAUCGGACAACGUUCAUUAAUGACUUGUUCGGCACCUUAUGAGAAAUCAAAGUUUUUGGGUUCCGGGGGGAGUAUGGUCGCAAGGCUGAA